AAGUCGAGGGGUAACAGGGAGCUUGCUCCGCUGACGACCGGCGCACGGGUGCGUAACGCGUAUACAAUCUACCUCACACUGGGGGAUAGCCUUUGGAAACGAAGAUUAAUACCUCAUAGUAUUAUAGAAUGGCAUCAUUUUAUAAUUAAAGGUUACGGUGUGAGAUGAGUAUGCGUCCUAUUAGCUAGUUGGUAAAGUAACGGCUUACCAAGGCAACGAUAGGUAGGGGCCCUGAGAGGGGGAUCCCCCACACUGGUACUGAGACACGGACCAGACUCCUACGGGAGGCAGCAGUGAGGAAUAUUGGACAAUGGAGGGAACUCUGAUCCAGCCAUGCCGCGUGAAGGAUGACUGCCCUAUGGGUUGUAAACUUCUUUUAUACAGGAAGAAACACUGGUACGUGUACCAGCUUGACGGUACUGUAUGAAUAAGCACCGGCUAACUCCGUGCCAGCAGCCGCGGUAAUACGGAGGGUGCAAGCGUUAUCCGGAAUCAUUGGGUUUAAAGGGUCCGUAGGCGGACUAAUAAGUCAGAGGUGAAAUCCCGCAGCUCAACUGUGGAACUGCCUUUGAAACUGUUAGUCUUGAGUUAUUGUGAAGUGGUUAGAAUAUGUAGUGUAGCGGUGAAAUGCUUAGAGAUUACAUGGAAUACCGAUUGCGAAGGCAGAUCACUAACAAUAUACUGACGCUGAUGGACGAAAGCGUGGGGAGCGAACAGGAUUAGAUACCCUGGUAGUCCACGCCGUAAACGAUGGAUACUAGCUGUUCGGCCGUAAGGCUGAGUGGCUAAGCGAAAGUGAUAAGUAUCCCACCUGGGGAGUACGUUCGCAAGAAUGAAACUCAAAUGAAUUGACGGGGGCCCGCACAAGCGGUGGAGCAUGUGGUUUAAUUCGAUGCAACGCGAAGAACCUUACCUACUCUUGACAUCCAGAGAACUUUCCAGAGAUGGAUUGGUGCCUUCGGGAACUCUGAGACAGGUGCUGCAUGGCUGUCGUCAGCUCGUGUUGUGAAAUGUUGGGUUAAGUCCCGCAACGAGCGCAACCCUUAUCCUUGUUUGCCAGCACUUCGGGUGGGAACUCCAGGGAGACUGCCGGUGAUAAACCGGAGGAAGGUGGGGACGACGUCAAGUCAUCAUGGCCCUUACGAGUAGGGCUACACACGUGCUACAAUGGCGCAUACAGAGGGCAGCCAACUUGCGAAAGUGAGCGAAUCCCAAAAAGUGCGUCGUAGUCCGGAUUGGAGUCUGCAACUCGACUCCAUGAAGUCGGAAUCGCUAGUAAUCGUGGAUCAGAAUGCCACGGUGAAUACGUUCCCGGGCCUUGUACACACCGCCCGUCACACCAUGGGAGUG
rnacentral:rRNA from 1 species